CCUACGGGAGGCAGCAGUGAGGAAUAUUGGUCAAUGGGCGUAAGCCUGAACCAGCCAAGUCGCGUGAGGGAUGAAGGUUCUAUGGAUCGUAAACCUCUUUUAUAAGGGAAUAAAGUGUGGGACGUGUCCUGUUUUGUAUGUAUCUUAUGAAUAAGGAUCGUCUAACUCCGUGCCAGCAGCCGCUGUAAUACGGAGGAUCCGAGCGUUAUCCGGAUUUAUUGGGUUUACAGGGUGCGUAGGCGGCCUUUUAAGUCAGCGGUGAAAGUCUGUGGCUCAACCAUAGAAUUGCCGUUGAAACUGGGAGGCUUGAGUAUGUUUGAGGCAGGCGGAAUGCGUGGUGUAGCGGUGAAAUGCUUAGAUAUCACGCAGAACCCCGAUUGCGAAGGCAGCCUGCCAAGCCAUGACUGACGCUGAUGCACGAAAGCGUGGGGAUCAAACAGGAUUAGAUACCCCAGUAGUC
rnacentral:rRNA from 1 species